GGCUACGGCGGCGGCAGUGGCUCCACCGGCGGCAACGAGUCUUCUAAGGGACCCAGAUACUAACAAAACCAGAGUAAUCAAGACUAUUAUUGAAGAGGUGGCACCUGAUGGUAGAGUUCUUUCAUCUAUGGUUGAAUCAGAAACCAAGAAACACUACUAUUAAGCUGCAUAAAGAAGAAAGAGUCUCCCUUCACAUGGGCUGUUAUAUACAGAUAUGUGGAAAACAGAGUCUCCAGGCAGGAAGACACAUCAGUCUUAAUGGCCUGUAGGAACAGGUUCUGUCCUUGAAAAUAAGGUGUCUAAAAGGUGUUCUGUGGUUUCUGUAUUUCUUCUUCUCACUUUACCAUGAAGUGUUCUUUAAGGCAAAAAAAAAAAUACAAAAAAUACAAAAAACCUUUCUGUGUUCAUUUACUAAUGGAUUUCAAUAAACUUUCUUACUGAUGCAAACUAUA